UGAUAUUCUAAAUAGGCAAGUCAGUCAUGAAACACAAUAGAUGUAUUAAUAUAGAUAUAUAAUUUCAUAUAUAUGCAGUUUAUCAUAAAGAUGGUAUUUCCAGUCAAUGAUGAAUAAAAGAGAAAAAUAAAUUAUAGAAACAUCAAAAUGGUAAAGAUAAAACAAGGCAAAUCUUUAAACGUAUUAUAAGAAAAUAAAAGAAAUUCAUUUAGAACAUUGAGUUAGAAAAGACCCUUGUAAACAAAUUACAAAUGAAAGUUUUUCUCUUUAUGGUAAAAAUCAUAAAGGAAACAAAAGUUAAUCUGAUAUCAAGAAAACAUGAUUGAAUAUGCCAAAGUCACUAUAAAAUUAAAAUUUGUGUUAAAACUUUAAAAGUAUUUGAUACUUGUAUAAAAUAAAGGAUUGAUAUUCACAGUUUAUUUUAAAACCUACAAAUACUUAUAACCACAAAAAUCCAAUAGACCCAGGGGCCAAGUGUGGAGAUAGGGAAUUCAGAGGACAGGAAAUCCAAACACUUCCAAUACAGAGUCCAACCCACUCCCUGAGAGUUGGAUGUUUGGAAACUACAACGCAGGGAUAUCACUUUUUUGCCCACAACAUUUGCAAAAUUGAACGAUAUAAAAAUUUACCAUCGAAUUUUGUUCACAAUAUAGGGAAACAGGCACUGUCAUUUCUUGCGUGACAGAUUGGUUCAGUCUUCAAAGGACAACUUAGCAGUAUUUGCUGACAUGAUCAAAGCGCUUCUCUUUUGGUCCAUCAUCUCCACUUCUCAGUGACAAAUCUUAAGACACAUUCACAUGGAAAAAAACCCAAGAUAGUCACAUACUUCCUGUUGUAUCUUUGUACUUAGAAUUACAAUAUGGGAGAAAAGUACCUUGACAUUCAUCUUCAAGGGAAUGGUGACACUACCCGACACCCCCGUUGUGACGUACGGUGCUGCAUACUCCCCAGUGACCAGCCCUUCUAAAUUCCAGACCGCUCAAAGAUGUGAGGGCAGUGUUUUUAAUCACAUGAUGCAGCUCAAAAUGAAGUUCCUGUGUGGUUUUAAUACUGAAAGGACACACGCUAUUACAAGUGGGAAAAAUGCUGUAACACCGGCCUACCAAACGUCAGAUCGUCUGGAGCAGCUGAAUUCAACUCUAUUCCCACCACUGGAAGUAAAGUAUGUUGUUAUAUUUACAGGAAAAUUUGAGCUGACUUUCACCAUUUUCAAAGCCUGAAUAAUUAUGAUCUUGGCUUAGGUUAGACUACAUUGUAAAAAGCUUACCAAGUUUUGUUUCGUAACUGCUUUUAUCAUCUUAAAAUGAAACUGCAUAUAUUCAUAAUAAAUAAAGAAAUGCC
rnacentral:lncRNA from 1 species